rnacentral:rRNA from 1 species
ACUCAAAGGAAUUGACGGGGGCUCACACAAGCGGUGGAGCAUGUGGCUUAAUUCGAGGCUACGCGAAGAACCUUAUCCUGGACUUGACAUGUGCGAAAGCGCUGGGGAGUAGGGUGCGGAAACGUUACCCCAACGGUAUCCAGUCCGGAACCCAGCACAGGUGCUGCAUGGCUGUCGUCAGCUCGUGUCGUGAGAUGUCGGGUUAAGUCCCAUAACGAGCGAAACCCCUGUCUCCAGUUGCCAACGGUUCGGCCGGGGACUCUGGAGAGACUGCCGGUGUUAAACCGGAGGAAGGUGGGGAUGACGUCAAGUCCUCAUGGCCUUUAUGUCCAGGGCUGCACACGUGCUACAAUGGCCUGUACAAAGGGACGCCAACCCGCGAGGGGGAGCAAAUCCCAAAAAACAGGCCCCAGUUCAGAUCGCAGGCUGCAACUCGCCUGCGUGAAGUUGGAAUCGCUAGUAAUCGCGGGUCAGCAACACCGCGGUGAAUGUGUUCCUGAGCCUUGCACACACCGCCCGU